GCAGGGCUCCUCCUGUCCCUCCGGUCUCCGCAUGAAGUCACCUCUGCGGACAGGCCGUCUCCUCCCCACUGCAGCAUCCUCUGCGAAGUGCCCCCGGGGCCCACGCAGUACCGUGGGAGCACAGGAGCUGCUCCUGGGAGGAAGGGAUGGCCCACGCUCCUCCCAGGGCCGGCUGGUCACCCCCGGGCCCUGCAGUCCUGCACAGACCCCUGCCAGACUCUGGCCCUGGAGGACCCCUCACCCUCGACCCUGCCGAACUCCAGAUUUCUCUCGGCCUUCCGUUUGCGCACACACUCGGUGCCAGGCCUGUAGCAGGGGCUGGGGCGCGGCCUUCCCGGAUCUGCCACUGGCCGGUGGGGAGGCAGGGGUGCAUGAAGGACACGCCGCAGCGAUCUGAGCAGGGCUCUGAGCAGCCAGAGCGUCGGGGACAAUGAGUGGGCAGGCCUCCGUGAGAAGGUGUGUGACCCUCCACCCCCCCAGCUGCCUGCGAGGGCCCAACAGGCUAAGGUCACCACAGGGUGUGCCUCCUGCCAGGCUGGUGGCCACCACUGGCUCAGACCACAUGUCCCCCCCACCACAAGAGUGCUUUCACAGACUCCCUCGCAUGCUCUCCCCGCCAGGGUGCUGGCCUCUGGUCCUCAGACCCAGCUGCCAGCCCAGCCCCCUCAGUGCCCUGGGGGGCCUCUGAGCUCUGCUUUCCUCCAAGGCCAGCCUUGAGGUCCAGGGGUCCACUGGGUAGCAAGGCAGGGGCUCGUAGGCUUGGGGACAUUCAAAGCUGCCCCUGCGCCUCUAACUCCUCAUCCAGCCCCCGAGGAACAGGCCGGAUGCCUCCGGGCAGCCCCGCGGCACUUACAGGUCCCAGCCGGCCCUCCACGGUGCCCUUGGACCUCCUCCGCGGACUUCCAUUCUCCCAGUGGCGGUGGUGUUUUUCAUGGAUCUCUUUGGUUCAGGAUUUAGCUUCUGCAGCUGUCCGUUUUCAGGAAACUGGAAACACUCGCCCUUCAUGACAAGCAAGCACAUCUCCAGGCCUUCGCCCGUCCGGUUCCGGUACCGUCCCUCGGAUCAGUGGGCAGGUCCAAGCACCAAGGUUUGGUCCUCGGCUCCUGUGGGAUGUCGCUGCCUCCGCGAGCAGGUCGAUACCAACAGUGGCAGAGCCGGCAGCGCGGGGAGGCCUGCACACGUUCCUGCACCCUGGCUUGGCACGAGUUCCUAGCUGGCCCUGCAGAGGUCUUGGUUGGAGGGGUGCAGAAUAGAGCGGCCCCACCCCGGCCCCCUGAGCCGAGGGAGGCAGCCCCCGGGUCACCAGGAACCGCCCGGUCCCUCCUCUCCUGGACCAAGCCUCCCAGGUCGCUGGGCGCGCGGGGCUGUCCCCAGUGCUGACUCGAGGACCAGAGCCAAGGCCGUGGGACGGUCUGACGUGCUCCUACACUGUCAGUCCUGGCUGAGGUCUGGGUUCAGGUGGGGGAGCUGCUCCGAGCACCCCAUUUCUCAUCACACCCGCCCCCUGCUGCUGGACAGCGGCCCAGAUCUGCGGCCGCCUCUGCCCAGUGUCCCCACUGGCACCUCCGGCCCAGGUGCAACCAGCAGGGGGUGCUCUUCUCCUGGGGUUUAUUGCCCAUUUCCCUUCCUGUAGGACUCCAAAAGUUUCCAAAAGGCUGAAAGCCAAGGAUCCAGUUCUGAAAUCCCAGCUGAGCCGCCCCCUCCGAAGGAGCUGGAAAACCCCAAGCACAUGUGGCCUUGCAGCUGCUGCUUUAUGCCUCGGGCAUCCCAGCCCACAGAGCUGUCCACACCGUGUCCCCGGGCCGGGAGGUGGGUCAGGGCUGUCCUCGGGGCUCCCACGGUGCCGCUCAGCGUCCCUGCUGUGGUUGCGACCCCGGUGGGAGCCCAAGGCUGAGCACCAGAGACACGGAUGGGGCGCAAGCCCUUCACCACAGGGUGGGGUGAACUGGGACCCUCCAGGCGGAGGGAGGCGGUGCGGGAACCUACAUUAGGAAGGGCCGGGGGGGGGAGGGCCCUGGACUCCCCACUGUGUGUGUCACCCUGGCUCUGAGGGCAUGGGGUGGGGAGGACUCCCCCCCCCCAGUUGAGGGACAGCAGGAACAGUGUGGCCAGAGAGCCUGUGUGGGACCCUGGAUGGGGCCACCUUCCUGCUGCCCAUAGUGCUAGUGGCCCAGUGGGGCGCAGUGGUGACAUGUGGGGGAGCAGGGCAGUGGGGGAGGGGCUGGGCGGUUCCCAGGGCCUUUGCACUGGUGCCGGCAAGCAGCUUCCACACGGAUAAUUUGGGGGUGCCCACACGGGCUUACUGCCCCUGGGCCUGAUCCAUAGGACCGCCUAGAGAAAUGCUGAGCUGGGAGGAGGUCCUUCUGGCCCUCCAACCCCAACACUCCUGUGAGCAGCUGCUAGAACUUGUCGCCUGGAGCCCCUACAAGCACCUGCGAAGAAGAGCAGAAAAACAGGACGUGAAUCACUGGUCACAAUCACUUGGAGUGUCAAGAUGGGGCCUCACAGCGAGCGGUUACUACAGACGGCAAUUUUUAAAACAGGCGGGUUAAAAUACAGAGUCAAAUGAGA